rnacentral:rRNA from 1 species
AGUGAACGCUGGCGGUAGGCCUAACACAUGCAAGUCGAACGGCAGCACAGUAAGAGCUUGCUCUUACGGGUGGCGAGUGGCGGACGGGUGAGGAAUACAUCGGAAUCUACUUUUUCGUGGGGGAUAACGUAGGGAAACUUACGCUAAUACCGCAUACGACCUACGGUUGAAAGCAGGGGAUCUUCUGACCUUGCGCGAUUGAAUGAGCCGAUGUCGGAGUAGCUAGUUGGCGGGGUAAAGGCCCACCAAGGCGACGAUCCGUAGCUGGUGUGAGAGGAUGAUCAGCCACACUGGAACUGAGACACGGUCCAGACUCCUACGGGAGGCAGCAGUGGGGAAUAUUGGACAAUGGGCGCAAGCCUGAUCCAGCCAUACCGCGUGGGUGAAGAAGGCCUUCGGGUUGUAAAGCCCUUUUGUUGGGAAAGAAAAGCAGCAGGUUAAUACCCCGCUGUUCUGACGGUACCCAAAGAAUAAGCACCGGCUAACUUCGU